AGAGUUUGAUCCUGGCUCAGAACGAACGCUGGCGGCAUGCCUAAUACAUGCAAGUCGAACGCUUGCCGGAUUUCGGUCCGGUGGGAGUGGCGCACGGGUGAGUAGCGCGUGGGAACCUGCCCUGUUGUGGGGGAUAACCGAGGGAAACUUCGGCUAAUACCGCAUGCGCCCGGAGGUGACUCCGGGGAAAGAUUUAUCGC
rnacentral:rRNA from 1 species